rnacentral:rRNA from 1 species
UGAACGCUGGCGGCGUGCUUAACACAUGCAAGUCGAACGGGAUCUUCGGAUCUAGUGGCGGACGGGUGAGUAACGCGUGAGGAUCUGCCCUUAGGACGGGGACAACGACUGGAAACGGUCGCUAAUACCCGAUGUGCCGUGAGGUGAAAACUUUAGUGCCUGAGGAUGAACUCGCGUCUGAUUAGCUAGUUGGUAGUGUAAUGGACUACCAAGGCGACGAUCAGUAGCUGGUCUGAGAGGAUGAUCAGCCACACUGGGACUGAGACACGGCCCAGACUCCUACGGGAGGCAGCAGUGGGGAAUUUUCCGCAAUGGGCGAAAGCCUGACGGAGCAACGCCGCGUGAGGGAUGACGGUCUGUGGAUUGUAAACCUCUUUUCUCAAGGAAGAAGAACUGACGGUACUUGAGGAAUCAGCAUCGGCUAACUCCGUGCCAGCAGCCGCGGUAAUACGGAGGAUGCAAGCGUUAUCCGGAAUUAUUGGGCGUAAAGCGUCCGUAGGCGGUUUUACAAGUCUGCUGUUAAAGCGUGCAGCUUAACUGCAUAUAGGCAGUGGAAACUGUAAGACUAGAGUGUAGUAGGGGUAGAGGGAAUUCCCAGUGUAGCGGUGAAAUGCGUAGAUAUUGGGAAGAACACCGGUGGCGAAAGCGCUCUACUGGGCUACAACUGACGCUGAUGGACGAAAGCUAGGGGAGCGAAAGGGAUUAGAUACCCCUGUAGUCCUAGCCGUAAACGAUGGACACUAGGUGUUGACCGUAUCGACCCGGUCAGUGCCGUAGCCAACGCGUUAAGUGUCCCGCCUGGGGAGUACGCUCGCAAGAGUGAAACUCAA